UCCAAGCAAAAAAUUUAUCCUCAUUCAAAAGUCAUGUAAGAACCUCACUGGCUUACGGAAUGUUGAUGUUAUUUAAAAAAAUUCAUACAAAAAUAUGACCUCAUUCAAAAAUGUCAUGUGACAACCUCAUGGCUUAUGGAAUUCUGAUGUCACGGGCUUCUAAAGCUUUGAUCCUUUGAAGCUUUGAUCCUCAAAAUCCUUAAAUAGGGGUGAGGAUGUACAACUUUUAGUCCGUUAUUUGCAGCACUUAUGUCAGCAGCGUUCAAACAUUCACCAGUAAAGCAUUUCGAAACCUUUGGAUCCUUUUCGUAGUCACGGUAAACAGACUCCAACAUGUCUCCGAAAAAGCAAGAAAGACAAGAAGCUGACCCCAGCUCUAUUCCAUGGUAUGAGUCCCUAGACCCUUAUAUGAGCUCUCUACCUUGGGAUGAACAGGUAGAAUUAGAGGAACAGCGAUUGGAAGAAAUGCAGAAUGAAAAUCUCAUGAACAGAGAGAAGAUUAAGAUCCUGACGGAAGAAAAUGAGAGAAAGAGCUGAAUUAGAAAAAUUAUCCUACCAGCUUCAAGAAAAAGAAGGUAUUGAGGAGAAACAAUGGGCUCUCCAAGAUAAGAAGAAUCAGGUGCUCCAAGAAAAGCUGGAUGACGCUCUGGAAAAAAUUAAAGAUCUGCUCCAAAAGGAGAAAAAAGAGAGCAUAAAACAGGAAACCAUGGUCAGGAAGAAUCAGGAGCUCCAAGAAGAGCUUGAUGAAGCUCUGGAGAAACUUAGAGAAAUCCACCAAGAAGAGAAACAACAGGCCGAGCAGAGAGACAUGCAGCGCAAACUCCAAGCCAUGGAGGAAAAAUACAAAGCGCUGCAGGUAAAGCAUGACAAAACUCUGCACAAAAAUCAACAGUUGCUUCAAGACAAGAAGCAAAUGGAAAUGAAACAGAAGGAAAUGGACUCCAAGCAUGACGAGAUGGAGGAAAAACACAGACUGCUCCAAAUCAAGCUUGAGAAAACAGUGCACAGAAAUAAAGAGUUCAUUGAAGAGAGAGAGCAACAAGAAAUCCUCGAGAAAGAAACGGACUCCAAGUUUGAAGUCUUGGAAGAAAAACUGAAAAUGCUGCAAAUAACUCUUGAGGAAACACUGCUCAAAAAUACAGAGAUGCUUCACGAGAAUGACCAACAAAAAAUACAAAAGGAAGAAAUGGAUUGCAAGCUGAGGAACAUCGAGAAACAAAAUAGAGGCUUGCAAGUAAUGCUUGAUGAAGCUCUGGAAAGAAAUAAAGAGUUGCUUCACGACAAAGACCAACAGAAAAUACAUCAGCAAGAAAUGGAGUGCAAGCUGAGGAACAUCGAGAAACAAAAUGAAGGCUUGCAAGUUAUGCUUGAUGAAGCUCUGGAGAGAAAUAAAGAGAUUCUCCAAGACAAGAAACAACAGCCCGAAGAGCAGAGAGACCUGCAGAGCAAACUCCAAGCCAUGGAGGAAAAAUACAAAGCUCUGCAGGUGAAACAUGAUAAAACUCUGCACAAAAAUCAACAGUUGGUUAAAGACAAGAAGCAAAUGGAUAUGAAGCAGAAGGAAAUGGACUCCAAGCUUGAUGAGAUGGAGGAAAAACACAGACUGCUCCAAAUCAAGCUCGAUAAAAAAGUGCACAGAAAUAAGGAGUUCAUUGAAGAGAGAGAGCAACAAGAAAUGCUCGAGAAAGAAAUGGACCGCAAGUUUGAAGUCUUGGAGGAAAAAUGCAAAAUGCUCCAAAUAACUCUUGAGGAAACACUCCUCAAAAAUAAAGAGCUGCUUCAAGAAAAAGACCAACAGAAAAUACAACAGGAAGAAGAAAAAUUUUUUCUCCAGAAGAAAUAUCUAGCACUCCAAGAAUUGUAUAACGAAACGAGGUACAAAACAUCUGUACUGGAAGGAGAAAAGAAAAAAAUGGAAAAACAGUGCUCAGCGAUGCAGAGUAGCAUCAAUGAAAUGCUGAGAAAAAAUACCGAACUUGAAGAACUUUCUAAGACCUUGAAGUCCAAAAACACUGAAAUCCAGGCGCAAAAGCAAGAACAACAGAAAACACAUAAAGACCUGCAGUGUAGACUUCAAGAAAUCCAGAAGAGAAACCAGCAGCUGGAAGACAUGCACACAGAUGUGCACAAGGCAAAGCGAAUAGAGGAGGCAACAGUUAAAGAACUGCAAGACAAGCUUAAAGAAAAACAAGAACAAUUAGAAGACAUGGUGAAAAGAUGCAGCAAACUUGAGAAAGAAAACACAGAAACAAUGGAUGAGCUGAAAACCCUCAUCCUUGAGAAAAAAGUGCUGGUGGAACAUUGUCUGAAAAAGAAGAGAAAACGUUUCCACUGGUUCUGGAGAAGGGACACUGCUGCUUCUCACCUGAUGUAACCAUGUCUUCCUCCACCUCUAUUCCAACUUAAUUUUCCCCCUUCCCCUUCCCCUUCCCCUCCCCCUCCCUCCUUUUUCUUUUUUCACCCUCACCCCCCGACCAGUCCCGGCAGUUGACUGCCCCCUCCUGAGCCUGGUUCUGCCAUAGGUUUCUCCUUUAAGUGUCUUUCACUUUAAAAGGAGUUUUUCCUAUCCACUGUCGCCUGGUGCUUGCUCAGAGGGGAUUGUUGGGGUUUUCUCUCUUCUCUCUCUUUCCUUCUUUUUAUUCCUCUUUUUACCUCUUUUCCCCCCUUCUACCUUUUUUUUUUACCCAAUAAACACAAUUGGCAAUUACAUGUGUUUGAAAAAUGUCUUCAUUCAACAAUAAUUCAUCUUAGGUAUAAAAACAAGAAAUGGGUAAUAGCUGCAUGUGUGUUUGUGUGUCUGCAUAAUAUACAUAUUUGUAUCCCAGAAGGAAUUAAUACUAGAUGGGUAGAGAGGUUUUAAAGACUAGAAAUGAAAACAUGUG
ensembl:lncRNA